GCAUAACUCCGGCACUUCCUAACCCGCAUACCUGGGACUAAUUAGCGCAAGAACCACCACAGGCUGUACAGCCUACAAUAAUAACUACGUCGGCUGAGCAGACCACUCAUGCACACAACCUUGGUUACGGGAGGAUUCCCUGGCACGGCUCUCACUUAAGAGCCAGACCACAUGGACGCUUAGGCGACAGUGUACACAAUCUAACAAUUAAAC